rnacentral:lncRNA from 1 species
GCCUGUGGGCACAGUACCCGCUCCCCUCUGCAGGUGGUUCCCCCAGGAACUUAGGCAGAGUGGGAACACGCAGAAGACUUGGGAAAGAAAGCCGUCACGUCUCCUCCCACUUUCUUAACAGGUUUUCUAAAUCUUCAGACUAUCGCUAUGGAGAGCAGAGCAAGCAGCUGUGCCAGCCAAGAGAUGCUGAGGGAUCCUUCUGAGUGCUCAGCAACUUUUGGAUCCUCAUACAGAUGCUGAUAGUAAGUGUGAACUCAAACAUACACACACGGCAUGUGUGUGCACAUACAGGAACUACACAUGCAUGGACAUUAUGCA